rnacentral:tRNA from 1 species
AGGCUAUUAGCUCAAAUGGUAAGCAAUGUGCAUUUAUGUACAUGGUAUGGGUUCAAGUCCCAUAUAGCCUA